GAUAGUUUCUCAGACCAUGGUGCUUUAAUGCUUAAUAGGGAAUCUCGUUGGAAUCGAGAGUGGUCCCGCCGCUGUGUUCGGGGACGAACGCCGAAAUAAACCACUUUGGUACAGUAUUAUCAUGGGAAGGUUCGGCUAUUAGGAUGAUCCGUAAGCCAGAAGACCUGCCAUGAUGAUUUAUCGUUA
rnacentral:ncRNA from 1 species